AGAUAGGUUAUAAGCGAAUGGUGGAUGCCUAGGGAUAUUAGAGCUAUGAAAGACGUGGCGUGCCUGCGAUAAGCAUCGGGGAGGUGGCUAGCAACCUUUGAUCCGGUGAUGUCUGAAUGAGGAAACUCUAUUGUGGUAAUGCGCAAUAAUCAUUGCAGUUAUGCAAUGAAGCUAACCCGCUGAAGUGAAACAUCUCAGUAAGCGGAGGAAAAGAGAACAAAUGUUUAUUCCCCAAGUAGUGGCGAGCGAAAAGGGAAGAGCCCAAACCAAUUUUUAUAAUUGGGGUUGCAAGGUUAUAGCGUCGGGGGCAUUAUUCAGAUCUUGAGAAAUCAAGAAUUGAAUAAUAUCUGCCGAGGGAGAGAAUUUAGGUAAUUAUUUAGAAAAAGCACCCUGGAAAGGGGCACCAUAGAGGGUAAUAGUCCCGUAUUUUAAAAAUAUUUUACGCUCCUUGCUAUUUUUCUUAAGUACUGUCG
rnacentral:ncRNA from 1 species